UCUGGUAGUUAUGGCGAGAAGGUCACACCCGUUCCCAUCCCGAACACGGUAGUUAAGCUUCUCUGCGCCAAUGGUAGUUGGGGGUUUCC
rnacentral:rRNA from 1 species